rnacentral:rRNA from 1 species
CGCGUAGGCGGAUGUUUAAGUCCGGUGUGAAAGAUCAGGGCUCAACCCUGAGAGUGCAUCGGAAACUGGGCAUCUUGAGGACAGGAGAGGAAAGUGGAAUUCCUAGUGUAGCGGUGAAAUGCGUAGAUAUUAGGAGGAACACCAGUGGCGGAGGCGACUUUCUGGACUGUAACUGACGCUCAAAUGCGAAAGCGUGGGGAUCAAACAGGAUUAGAUACCCUAGUA